AAACUACUCCCUCCUUCCCAUAUUAAGUGACUUUCUUUUACAUGUAUCUAGACGCUUUUUAGGCAUAGAUACAUCCAUAUUUGGGAAAUUUUGAGUCACUUAAUAUGGGACGGAGGGAGUACUAU
rfam:Brachypodium distachyon strain Bd21 chromosome 3, whole genome shotgun sequence.